rnacentral:rRNA from 1 species
ACUGGAAUUCCUGGUGUAGCGGUGGAAUGCGCAGAUAUCAGGAGGAACACCGGUGGCGAAGGCGGGUCUCUGGGCAGUAACUGACGCUGAGGAGCGAAAGCGUGGGGAGCGAACAGGAUUAGAUACCCUGGUAGUCCACGCCGUAAACGGUGGGUACUAGGUGUGGGUUUCCUUCCUUGGGAUCCGUGCCGUAGCUAACGCAUUAAGUACCCCGCCUGGGGAGUACGGCCGCAAGGCUAAAACUCAAAGAAAUUGACGGGGGCCCGCACAAGCGGCGGAGCAUGUGGAUUAAUUCGAUGCAACGCGAAGAACCUUACCUGGGUUUGACAUGCACAGGACGCCGGCAGAGAUGUCGGUUCCCUUGUGGCCUGUGUGCAGGUGGUGCAUGGCUGUCGUCAGCUCGUGUCGUGAGAUGUUGGGUUAAGUCCCGCAACGAGCGCAACCCUUGUCUCAUGUUGCCAGCGGGUAAUGCCGGGGACUCGUGAGAGACUGCCGGGGUCAACUCGGAGGAAGGUGGGGAUGACGUCAAGUCAUCAUGCCCCUUAUGUCCAGGGCUUCACACAUGCUACAAUGGCCGGUACAAAGGGCUGCGAUGCCGCGAGGUUAAGCGAAUCCUUUUAAAGCCGGUCUCAGUUCGGAUCGGGGUCUGCAACUCGACCCCGUGAAGUCGGAGU